AGAACGAUUGCAGCGCCGACACUUCCAGUCGUGAUCCCCGCCUCCCCGCAACCAACAUGCACCUUGCCAUCGUGUGACAAGGCCUUUUCGCUUAUCAAUCGGCAUUGCCCGUAUACGUGUGCUUAUGCCGUGACCGCGGGUACAUCUUGCCGCGGCUAUGCCACAGUCCUACAAUGGCGACGGGCCGGAACGAUUUCCACGCAGUAAAGGAAAAUAGUCACCCUACACCUUCAGUGACGGCCAUGUCGGUGAACAUGAUGGCCUCCAGCAUGCUUCUCAACUUCGACGAAGGCAUAGUGCCUUCUUCCUCUUUUAAUUGCAGUGCUCACGAUACACGAGAGCGGGUGGCGCGCACUCGCGAGGACACCCGCGAGCGAGUUCAGCGAGCCGUCGUUCUCAAUUGUGGAUUGCGGAGGCCUCGAAGAAAGACUCCAGAUGAGAGGGCACGUAGUGGUUUCACGUCACGCCAUGGUUUUCAGUCAUCUCCGAGCGCCCGAGUGGAUGGCCACGCGAGAUCGAGCUGGGCUUCAACGCAACAGAUCUCAAGCACACCUUCGGGUCCAGUUCACCCUUCUGCGAAAGUGGUCACAGGCAGCAGGUCUACAGCCUCUAGGGGAGCUCGCGGUGCGGUCCUGCCAUGGCCAGUACUUCCAGUCGAUUCCUACAGCUCUUCCAACGACGAUCGCGCCUGUUCUCGAAGACGGCGUGACGCCUUUCAAGAUCUCGUCAUGCCGCAGCAUCGAUCGGGAUGCGACCUCGGACGAGCAGCUCGCGGCACUCACUAUCCCACCGCUGGUCGCGCAGCCACCGCUGUCAGGUGACACGGCGCUGUCUUGGCGUGCCUUCUGGUGACACGUCAGCGGUGUCUGCGCGCUGCGUGACCGGUCCGAGGCGCUGUUCUGCUGCGGACGUCGUCUGGAAGGCGGGAUCGCGCAGCAGCCCUCUACCCGCUCCGGCCCCUCAUCUCGACUCCGGCGGCAGAUGCGUCAAAAGCUGCAUUUUGACGACACCUAAUGGUGUCGAGGCUGGUCACCCAGGUGACUGCAUUCAUAGGCGUACCGCCAUAUCAUUCAUAAACUAUGGCACACCCAUCAGGGCGAAAUAAACGUGCA